rnacentral:misc_RNA from 1 species
GAUGAAGAACGCAGCGAAAUGCGAUAAGUAAUGUGAAUUGCAGAAUUCAGUGAAUCAUCGAAUCUUUGAACGCACAUUGCGCCCCUUGGUAUUCCGAGGGGCAUGCCUGUUCGAGCGUCAUUAUAACCCCUCAAGCUCAGCUUGGUGUUGGGGCCUGCCGCACGGGCAGCCCUUAAAAUCAGUGGCGGUGCCAUCUGGCUCUAAGCGUAGUAAUUCUUCUCGCUAUAGAGUCCCGGUGGAUGCUUGCCAUUAACCCCCAAUUUUCUAUGGUUGACCUCGGAUCAGGUAGGGAUACCCGCUGAACUUAAGCGUAUCAAUAAGCGGAGGA